rnacentral:rRNA from 1 species
UGGGGAAUAUUGGACAAUGGGCGAAAGCCUGAUCCAGCCAUGCCGCGUGUGUGAAGAAGGUCUUCGGAUUGUAAAGCACUUUAAGUUGGGAGGAAGGGCAGUAAGCUAAUACCUUGCUGUUUUGACGUUACCGACAGAAUAAGCACCGGCUAACUCUGUGCCGG